AGGGUGAGUCGACCCCUAAGGCGAGGCCGAAAGGCGUAGUCGAUGGGAAACGGGUUAAUAUUCCCGUACUUGGUGUUACUGCGAAGGGGGGACGGAGAAGGCUAUGUUGGCCGGGCGACGGUUGUCCCGGUUUAAGCGUGUAGGUGUGUGUUCCAGGUAAAUCCGGUUCACUUUAACACUGAGGCGUGAUGACGAGGCACUACGGUGCUGAAGCAACAAAUGCCCUGCUUCCAGGAAAAGCCUCUAAGCAUCAGGUAACAUCAAAUCGUACCCCAAACCGACACAGGUGGUCAGGUAGAGAAUACCAAGGCGCUUGAGAGAACUCGGGUGAAGGAACUAGGCAAAAUGGUGCCGUAACUUCGGGAGAAGGCACGCUGACACGUAGGUGAAGUGAUUUACUCAUGGAGCUGAAGUCAGUCGAAGAUACCAGCUGGCUGCAACUGUUUAUUAAAAACACAGCACUGUGCAAACACGAAAGUGGACGUAUACGGUGUGACGCCUGCCCGGUGCCGGAAGGUUAAUUGAUGGGGUCAGCGCAAGCGAAGCUCCUGAUCGAAGCCCCGGUAAACGGCGGCCGUAACUAUAACGGUCCUAAGGUAGCGAAAUUCCUUGUCGGGUAAGUUCCGACCUGCACGAAUGGCGUAAUGAUGGCCAGGCUGUCUCCACCCGAGACUCAGUGAAAUUGAACUCGCUGUGAAGAUGCAGUGUACCCGCGGCAAGACGGAAAGACCCCGUGAACCUUUACUAUAGCUUGACACUGAACAUUGAGCCUUGAUGUGUAGGAUAGGUGGGAGGCUUUGAAGUGUGGACGCCAGUCUGCAUGGAGCCGGCCUUGAAAUACCACCCUUUAAUGUUUGAUGUUCUAACGUGGACCCGUGAUCCGGGUUGCGGACAGUGUCUGGUGGGUAGUUUGACUGGGGCGGUCUCCUCCUAAAGAGUAACGGAGGAGCACGAAGGUUGGCUAAUCCUGGUCGGACAUCAGGAGGUUAGUGCAAUGGCAUAAGCCAGCUUGACUGCGAGCGUGACGGCGCGAGCAGGUGCGAAAGCAGGUCAUAGUGAUCCGGUGGUUCUGAAUGGAAGGGCCAUCGCUCAACGGAUAAAAGGUACUCCGGGGAUAACAGGCUGAUACCGCCCAAGAGUUCAUAUCGACGGCGGUGUUUGGCACCUCGAUGUCGGCUCAUCACAUCCUGGGGCUGAAGUAGGUCCCAAGGGUAUGGCUGUUCGCCAUUUAAAGUGGUACGCGAGCUGGGUUUAGAACGUCGUGAGACAGUUCGGUCCCUAUCUGCCGUGGGCGCUGGAGAACUGAGGGGGGCUGCUCCUAGUACGAGAGGACCGGAGUGGACGCAUCACUGGUGUUCGGGUUGUCAUGCCAAUGGCACUGCCCGGUAGCUAAAUGCGGAAGAGAUAAGUGCUGAAAGCAUCUAAGCACGAAACUUGCCCCGA
rnacentral:rRNA from 1 species